CUAAGGAAUAUUACGGAGACUGCACAUUUUGUUUUUACUUUGUUCAGUUUUGAGAGGUUUACUCUCAAACACUUUUGUUCAUUGAAAACUGGAUAUUUGAAGUAAAUGUAAGUAAUACAAACCGAGAACACCGCGUUGAAUGAGUUUUUUAAUAAGUUCAAUUGCUUAUUUUCUUGAUCUAACUUCUAUCGCUAGAAGAAGGAUCAAAACCCAACCGCAAGGUUGAUAA
rnacentral:misc_RNA from 1 species